GAUGAACGCUGGCGGCGUGCCUAAUACAUGCCAGUCGAGCGAACAGACGAGGAGCUUGCUCCUCUGACGUUAGCGGCGGACGGGUGAGUAGCACGUGGAUAACCUACCUAUAAGACUGGGAUAACUUCGGGAAACCGGAGCUAAUACCGGAUAAUAUAUUGAACCGCAUGGUUCAAUAGUGAAAGACGGUUUUGCUGUUACUUAUAGAUGGAUCCGCGCCGCACUAGCUAGUUGGUAAGGUAACGGCUUACCAAGGCAACGAUGCGUAGCCGACCUGAGAGGGUGAUCGGCCACACUGGAACUGAGACACGGUCCAGACUCCUACGGGAGGCAGCAGUAGGGAAUCUUCCGCAAUGGGCGAAAGCUUGACGGAGCAACGCCGCGUGAGUGAUGAAGGUCUUCGGAUCGUAAAACUCUGUUAUUAGGGAAGAACAAAUGUGUAAGUAACUAUGCACGUCUUGACGGUACCUAAUCAGAAAGCCACGGCUAACUACGU
rnacentral:rRNA from 1 species